UAGGCCGCAAUUUAAACCGGGGUCCCAAAAUUGGCUAUUUGUAUGCCAAGGCGCGAAGAUUUGGGGUUUUUUUUUUUUUUUUUUGCUUUAUCUCAUCACUGCAUAAGAUUUGGCUUUUGAUUAUCCUUGAAAUGCUGAUUACAUUUUCAAACACCUGGCGGCCUCCACUCUCACUCCUCGCUCGGCUCCGCUCCCACUUCACUUUCUCCACCAAGUGCUACAUCGAUGAAGAGUGUAAUGACUUUUUGCCGUGGUUGGAACACGAGGCAGGGGUGGAGAUAUCUUCUUUGCUUUCAAUUGGGAAGUCUGCUUAUGGAAGGUCGCUCAUUGCUCGUCACCCUAUAAAACCAGGCAAUUUCUUGUUGAAGGUUCCAUACAAUGUGCAAUUGGCCCCUGAUAAUCUUCCUAGAGGAAUCGAUGCAUUAUUAGGAGAUAAUGUGGGAAAUGUUGCUAAAGUUGCCUUGUUGAUUCUAUAUGAGCAGAAGUUGGGCAAGAAAUCGAAAUGGGCCCCUUACAUUACUUGUCUUCCCCGUCCUGAAGAUAUGCACAACACGAUAUUCUGGGAUGAGAACGAGUUAAAGAUGAUUCAACAAAGUUCUUUACAUCAGAAAACAAUUAUGCAUAAGCUGUUUGUCGAACAAGAAUUUUUAACAAUUAAAGAGGCUUCCUUCCAAUUCUCUGAAAUUAUCCAAGAUGUGACAUUAGAGGACUUCAAAUAUGCAUGUGCUUUAGUAACAUCGCGAGCAUGGGAAAGCUCUAGGGGUGUAUCAAUGAUUUUGCAAAUCAUAGUGACCUCUCUGACACAACUGUUUUGGGUAAUGAAGAGAAGCAACUUUCAGAGAUGGAGGAAAUGGAUCAAAUUUUGCAUCUCAACGGUAAGGUAUUCAGUCCUUGUGAAUGGUAACCCAUGCGGCUGUUUUGGUGGUUCAAGAGGAAUGAGACGAGGUGACCUGCUAUCCCCUAUGCUGUUCAUUCUAGUGAUGGAAGCAUUGAGCACGAUGAUGGAUAAAAUUGUGGCAGGAGGUUACUUUAGGGUUUCUCUAUAUCGGUUGGUUGACAAAGUUCGGUUUCACACCUCUUGUUUGCAGAUGACACUUUGGUGUUUUGAUGCUGAUAGUGCUCUGUUGAUUUACUUGAGACAAGUAUUGGCAUGGUUCCAGGUGGCGUCAGGCCUAAAGAUCAUCCUAAGUAAAUGUGACAUCUUCAAGUUGGCGAGGCAGAGAAUAUUGAGGCCGUAGCGCAGGUGUUAAAUUGUGAGGUUUUGGCUCUCCCUAUGACUUAUCUUAGUUUACUGUUAGGAGCAACUUAUAAGAACCAAGCAGCUUGGAAUCUGGUGAUAGAGAGGGUAGAAAAGCGGCAUGCCGGUUGACAAAAGAGGUACUUAUCCAAAAAGGGAAAAAGGAAGUGUUAAUCAAGAGCAUGCUAUCGAGUAUUCCCACAUAUUUUUUUUUCUUUGUUUCACGCUCUUGUCAGUGUUAUAGAGAAAUUGCAUAGACUUCAGAGGGAUUUUCUAUGGCAUAGGUGAAGCGGCGAGAGAAAGUUCCACCUGAUAAAUUGGGAGACUGUCACUACUUCAAAAUGUUGGAGUGGACUGGGGAUUAAAGAUUUAAGGGUCUAUAACAAGACGUUACUGGGAAAGUGACUAUGGAGAUUUGGGUAGAUGUAAAUGCUCUUUGGAGGGGGUAAUUGCGGAGAAGUAUGAGGUUUUGGAAGGGGGGUGGAGGACUAAAAGUGUGUCACUUUCCUAUGGGUGCGGGGUAUGGAGAAAUAUUCUGAAGGGGAAGAAAGUGUUUAUUGUGAAUAUAUCAUUCAGGGCGUGUGAUGGGAGCAGGGUGAGUUUUUGGAGGCAUAAGUGGUGCGGGAACAUAAUCUAGAGAAUCACAUUCCCAAACAUGUAUAGAAUCUCAUGCCAAAAGAGAUGUCAGUCCGACGACUACGAAGUCUGCAAGGGGGAGAAAUGCAGUGGGAUUUGAGGUUUAGGAAGAACUUGAAAGAUUGGUAGUUUGCAGAAUUUUAAAGUUUGAUUGAGCUGCUUCACAACCAAAGCACUGGAUAACCAUGAUGUAUGGAGAUCGGUGAGGCAAAUAAUGACAUUUUUUCUGUUAAGUCCUAUUAUGAGAAGUUCAUGAUUAGGAAGGAAUCGACUUUUCACAUAUCUUAGUAUGGAUCCUUAGAGUACUGGGAAGUUGUUAUCUUUUGCUUGGCUAGCGGCAAAGGGGUCAAUCUUGACAGCAAAGAACUUGUGGAAGAGGAAGGUUACUUGUGUCAGUUGGUGUUUCAUGUGUAAAAGCUCAGAUGAAGAUGUGAAUAACCUCAACUCACAUUGUCGGAUAACGUCUUUCCUAUGGCGGAAAAUUGUGAGAUGGUUUGAUAUUAUGUCGGUGAUGCUGGGCACGGUGAAAUAGAUGAUAUUUAUCUGGACUCUUAGAAGACAGAAGAGAAGAAACAAGGCAUGGGAUGUUGCUCCUUUAUAGCUUAUGUGGACCAUAUGAGAGUAAGAAAUAAGAAAGCCUUUGGUGGAGUAGAGGAGGAUUUUGUCCAGUUCAAGAAUAGCCUUUUAUCCCUUAUUUCUUUUUGGAGCACCCACUAAGUUCCCUAUAGGUUAUUGCUAAUUGUAGUUACGCUCCUGGUGAUCAGGUCUCAUGCAACUCGAAUGGAUUUUUGGUUCCAUAUAAUACUAUUCUUUCUCUAUCUUUAUCAAAGUGUCAUCUGCAACUUUUUGCCUUUUUGGUCAUUAAG